GGCCUGGACGCGCGGUCCGCCUAACGGUGUGCACUGCCUGGCCGGGUCUUACUUCUUGGUGAGCCGGCGUGCCCUUUAUUGGCGUGCGUCGGGGAACCAGGACUUUUACCUUGAGAAAAUUAGAGUGUUCAAAGCAGGCUUACGCCCGGAUACAUUAGCAUGGAAUAAUAAAAUAGGACGUGCGGUUCUAUUUUGUUGGUUUCUAGAGUCGCCGUA
rnacentral:rRNA from 1 species